AUGGUUCCCUCUUCCAUCCUCUUUUAUAUUUUUUGUUCAGAGUUUUUGGUUCUGAUUUUGAGCAGGGGCAUUAGUUUAAUUUGCUUGAGUGCAGGGCUGAUAUUUUAUGAUGUUGUAGGGCAUAACAUGUUUCAGCUAUGGAAUGAUAGCAUGAGGGCAGCGGUAUGUUCCAAUGGCAAUCCUAGUAUUGAUCAGAGAUAG